UGAUAAAAAAUUAAUUCACUUGUACUGUUAAAAUCAUGCGUGGUUAACAAAAUAACCAAACAAUGAUACAUGGCAUGUCACGUGUACCUUAUGCUGAUGUAAAUAUAUCAGUUUUUAAUAGUACUAAUUGAUGAAAUUUUUAAUA
rfam:Gossypium raimondii Chr01_contig_222, whole genome shotgun sequence.